AAGCUUGGUAUCACCUCUUGGUUUUUCUUUGUUGUUGAAGUGUAAUAGAUAGUUUCUAAAUACUAAAAAGUGAGUCUUUGGAAUAAAUCAAAGAUUGAUUUAUGAGUUAUUGAUUAUAUAAUUGGAGCAUUGAGUGAUUGAAUUAUAUGAAGAGUUAUUAGAAGAUUAUGAUUAUUGUUUAUUGAAAGCUGUGUGUGUUUCGACAGAGGAAGUCUGUGAUUACAAAAAUUAUGUGAAUUCAGAUUAAUUGGAGUGAAGUCUAUUAAUUCUUGUGUUAGAUAGUAAUUAUGUAUUUUGAGUGGUCUUUUGAGAGUGCAGGGUUGCACACUAUUAUUAUCAGUUGAUGAAGGAGUAUUAUUAUUGGGAGAAAGCAUUGUAAUAUUUUUUGGUGUUUUAGUGGUUUGGAAUAUGGUUAAUUGUGUAACUCUAACAAGUAAAACUCAUACAUUUAGUCUUUCCCUGUGUUCGAAUUCUCCCAUAUAGGUUUAUUCUGAAAGGAAUUGAAGAAUAAGUAAAAGAAGAAUCACAGCCGCUAUCUAAU
rnacentral:lncRNA from 1 species